AUUGAUUUUGUUGGUCCUCUCUCUCCAACUGCUAACGAUGGUUCCCGCUACAUCUUAACCAUGAGCGAUUACUUUACCAAGUGGGUAGAAGCUAUUCCUACACCUGACAAGAGUGCAUCAUCAGUAGCAACAUCAUUUUUCAAGGUAUUUAUGAGAAUGGGUCUGCCUCGGGUAAUUCUCUCAGAUCAAGGACGUGAAUUCAACAAUGAUUUAGACACUAGUCUCUGUUCUCUCCUAGGGAUCCAGCGUCGCCUUACAACUCCUUACCACCCUCAGACUAACGGCUUGGACGAGCGUUUCAAUCAGACGUUGCAAAACAUGCUAGAAGACUGAAGUAGCUACCUGGACACAUGUGUUUUCGCAUACAAUACCUCUCGUCAUAAUUUAUGUUCAAUCGUCAAGCUACUCUUCCCAUUGAUGUAGAAGUCUCAAGCAUUUCUCCUGACCAAGCUGCUCGCGAGUAUCAGCAGCAAAUGCCCAAUCUAGAUGUUACACGUACUCGUGAACACAAUCAUGUACGACUGAGCCAAGCAAAAACCUAUAUUCUUGCCGCCCAAAAGAAACAGAAGGAACUGUAUGAUAAGAAACAUGCACAGCCUAAGAGAUAUAUGGUUGGUCAAUUAGUCCUGAAACUAAAUCAUACUCGCAAAAAGACAAAAGGUGGGAAGCUGAAGAAGAGGUACACUGGCCCUUACAAAAUCAUCUCUGUUAAACCACGAGGUGCAUAUGAGAUAAGCGAUGGAUCAAAGAGACAGUACUAGUGUCAGGACCCCAUCUCAAGCCAUACAACGAUCCACCUACUUGCGAUUCUGGAUCAAUGGACUCUGCUCACUCUCCUCCUGAGGACUCUGCUCACAUAACCUCUGCUCACCUGGAAUCCCCUCUUGAAGACUCCGCUCACACAACCUCCGCUCACCUGGAAUGCCAGAGAUGGCGACUAUGGAAAACUGGGUGGAAUGCAGCACAUGCAAGGAGUGGUAUCAUUACGACACCUGUGUGAACGUUCCUGCCGCUUUUCUCAAAAAAUCAGCUGUUUGGCACUGUAUGCAGUGCAGUGCUAAACCAGUCUAAGACGUAACUGUUAACCGUCCAUAAACUAUGAACCAUGCACCCGUACCGUCUGUAUCUAUUCCCGGACAGAACUUCGACAUUAUAAUUAUACGUAGUAGUAGUAACAUAAUUUUAUCAAGCUGUAAAACUGUCAAUCGUUAAUAGAUCUUUCUUUUG